AAAUAAACACACACACUAAACCAGUCAAGUACGCGGUGGAGUGAAACGGUCGAGUAAACGGCGAAUUUAGAGAAGACGGUGGCGGUUUGAGGAGUAGUCGAGUAAAGAGACGAAUGGAGGCGCAGUGAAUGGCGAGGUCGAGUGAAUGGUGGAUAGUUGAGAGAUGGUGAAGCCGGUCCGGUGGUCGAGUGAACGGAGAUGACGGAAGCACGGACAAUGGCGAGAAACUCCGGCGAAGAUGUUGAGGCGAAGUGUGAAGUGGUCGAGUGAAACGAGAGACGGUGAGAGAGUAUGCGAAGCUGGAACGGCGAGAAGCUCCGGCGAAGUCGAGUAAAUGAAGAUGAAGAUGAAGCACGGAGAGGUCGAGUUGCGGUCGAGUGGUAAGGAGGCGACGGUGAGAAGGAAGAAAUGGCGAAAUCGAGUACCAUCGUCGAGUGAAGGAGAGAGUGAAGGAGGUGGCGCGAACGGCGACGGUUGUUUCGAGGUAGAGUGAAGGAGGGAGACAAAGCCGGAGGGGCGAGAUCGAGUGAACGGUGAGGUCGAGUGUGAUGGUGCGGUCGAGUGACUGAAGAGGAAGAGAUAUGGUGAGGUUUGGUCGUGCGUGUGAGGAUGAGGUCGAGUGAGGGUUGUGAGGAAGAGAGAUAGUGUCGGUGGGGAGAGAUAGGGUUAGAUCGAGUGGAUGAGAUGGAGUGCUGGGAUUUUCUUAUCCUUAGAAACGCUUGGGGAACAAAAGUGAGAGGUGGUGGGCCACGCUCUGUCUGUUUGUCCUGAAGCAUUGUUUAUUGUUGUCUAGGAAUGUCUCAGAGCCUUCUGUAAUCCUCUGUAAAUUUGAUAAGCUCUCUGUAAGUCUUUGUAGCUUCUGUUGGUCGAGUAUAAAUAUGAUUUCAAAAUUUUGAGUUUUUAAAAUCAUUACUAAUACUCGACCAAACUACUCGAACUCAUGGCCUCUGAGUGCAACAGAGGUUUUUUCAAAUUCUUGAAUUUCUGAAAUACUCGAUCUCCUGUUGCUCUGUAGAGUAAAAAUUUUAAAUUUUUACUCUACCUCCACGCUGUUUCUCUGUUCCUGAGAAUCAGAAACACAACCAAAAACAGAUCAAAAAUAACGAGAAAAUAAAAGUUUUAUUUACAGAAACAGUCUUGGGAAUUCCUCCCAAGUGAGCUUGUUUAAAGUCUCUAGCUUGACUCCUCACACUCAUUAAGAAGAAAAUGGGUGAUAGAGAGGGUCUGCAUAGUCCUCUCUAAUCUCAUCAUCAUAUUCAGCAUCCUCUCUUGAGAGAUGAGUUGCAGAAUACUCAAUUCUUCUUUCCUCGAAAUAGGCUUCUUUCUCUUCUGGUGGAUAAUCUAUCUCUUCAGACCAUCUUGAAGUAAUCUUUUUCCUCGGGAUAGUGUUAUUCCCGCAUUUGGAUUUAGCUAUCUCUUGCAUCUGAUCCAGUUUACUCUUAAGUUGCUCAACUGUCUGAGCUAGCUUCUCUAUGGUCUCUUCUUGCUCAUCAGAUUUCUUUUUGAGAUUUCGCAAGUCGGGUGUAGAGGCUGUGCUUGGUCUAGCGAUUGAAUUCGAAGGCUGAGGUUGAGCCCUGACCUUUUCUUCUACAGCUGUCCUUUGCGAGGUUUUAUUGAUGUCAAACUGGAGCUUGAUGUGCUUCCCAAGGUUGAGACUUAUUCUCCCAUCUCUGACAUCUAUCAUCGCUCCCACUGAGGCUAAGAAAGGUCUUCCUAGGAUUAGAGGAUCCUUAGGUUCUGCUUCCAUAUCAAGCACAACGAAAUCCGUAGGCACCUCCACUCCAUUAAUCAUUAGUGGCAGAUCUUGUAGAAGGCCGAAGGGUUUUCUUGAAGACCCAUCAGCAAGGAUUAAAGUCAGGUCGCAAGGUUUGUACUGAGUGAAUUCCAGCUUCCUUGCUACUGAGAGUGGCAUUAGGCUUACUGAAGCUCCCAAAUCACAAAGGCAAUUGCUGAAAACCAAUUGACCGAUGGAACAUGGUAGAGUGAAAGUUCCUGGAUCUUCCAGUUUUUCUUGAACACUCCUCUUAACAGUGGUCCUAGACGGGAUAGCAUCACAUUCGUCUUCUGAAUCUUGAUGAAUCUUGAUCCUUUCUAGAAUUGACUUUCUCACAUCUUUGUGAGGAUCCGGGAUUAGGUUGAGCACUUCUAUUAGAGGCAUCACCGCUUCCAUCUCAUCAAGCUGCUUCUCUGCAAGAGAAUUGUAUCUUUCUAUCCAUGCUUUCCUGAAUUUCCAUGGAAGAGCACGUGAAGGUAAUGGUGCUGGCUUGAAUCGUUUUACCAUCCUCUCAAUGAUGGCUGCUUUCUCGUCUAGGUUGGACUGUGUUUGAAAUCGGGAUCCUGCUGAAUGGUCGAGUCCAACCACUGAAAUUUCAAUCUGAGUAGAAACCUCCCCGUCUUGAACAUCACUGUCCUCGGUGAUUGAUGUGGAGACAUGUCGAGUAGGCAGCUCUCGAUCAUGGCAGAUGGUGAUAGCGUGAGCGGUGGCGUAUUCCUUCGGGUUCUGUAUGGACUUUCCUGGAAGUCCUGUUACUUUUGGAGCAGAAGUUGACGCUGUUUGUCCUUCCAUGUAUCUGACCUUAGAGGUAAGUGCCUCAAGUUUGAUAUUCAGAUCGUUGAAAGUACAAUCAACCUUGUUGUGGAUUUCGGCCAUCUUUUUGGCGAGAUCCAUUGCUCCUGCAGCUUGCCCUUGGAGAAUCUGCUGUAACAUGUUCUUCAAGUCUGAAUCUGGAGUUGUUGAAGCUGGUUGUUGUUGCUGCUGUGUGAACCCAGGUGGUGGAAGUUGCUGCUGAUAGUUGCCCUGAUACUGCUGCUUAGGAACAUACCCUUGACCUUGGUUGUAUGGAACAAAGGGCUUGGGUUGAUUCUGCUGCUGUGAAGGGUAAACUUGGUCCUGCGGGUUUGCAACGUUUGUACUUCUGUAAGACAGAUUGGGAUGGUUCUGCUUGAAGUUGUUGAAACCUUUGUUGUAACCUCCUUGGUUCUGCACAUAACUGACCUCUUCUGAUUGCAUAGUCUCCCCAUCCUGAACUUGGAACGUCUCAUCAUCACCCAGAAAAUGAAUGUGCUUCUGUUGCGCAAGCAGUAGCUUGUCCAGUUUGUCAUUCAUGGCUUUCAUUUCCCUGCGGUGCUUCUCAUCAGAAUCAGAGCUGGUGCGGACGCUUCUAUCAUAAUCUUCAUUAUAGUUGCCAUCCGACUGAGCUAAGUUCUCUACCAGCUCCCAUCCGUCUUCAACGUCUUUGUUGAGAAAGUUCCCGUUAGAAGCGGUAUCUAGAAGCAUCCUGAUUUUUGGGAGGACACCUCUGUAGAGAGUGCUGAGAAGCGAAGCUUUGGAGAAACCAUGAUGAGGACAUUGCGUCUGAUAACCUUUGAAGCGCUCCCAUGCUUCGCAGAAAGUCUCAUUAUUCGUCUGAGUGAAACCGGAGAUAUCAUUCCUUAGUCUCGCAGUCCUGGAGUUCGAGAAAAACUUAGCCAAGAAGGCUUUCUUGCAGUCAUUCCAGGAGGUGAUAGAGCCUUGAGGAAGCGACUUUUCCCACUGAUGGGCUUUGUCUCCAAGAGAGAAAGGAAACAAUCUGAGCUUGAAGCCAUCCUCACUGACUCCAUUGAUCUUUGUUAGGCUGCAGAGCCUAUCAAACUCGUCCAGGUGAUCGAGUGGAUCCUCCAUAGGGAGGCCGUGGAACUUGUUGCUCUGAACCAUGGCAAUGAGACCGCUCUUGAUCUCAAAGUUGUUGUUCUGCACAGGUGGAGGCACGAUUCCAUUACGCUGAUUGUGGUUGCGUGGUGCAUCGCCUGCACCUAUGUUGUUUGGUUGCACCUGCUCAUCAACAACUGCAGCCAUUGUGUCUGUUUCUGUCUGUGUUCUGAGUUGGCGUGCAAUACGGUCGAUGUUAUCGUUGAACAGGAGAUUCUGAUAUCCUCGUGACCGUGUUUGCAUACAACGAGUACCAACUGGUGAAGCUAGUGAUCCGUAGUACCUAAAUCAAAACAGACAAACAGAAAUAACACAAAGUUAGUAACUUUCAGAAAAAAUGAAAAAGAACUUGAUCUUAAAUAUUCUGAAAUCUCAAAUAUAGCAAACAAACACCCAAUUGGCAACGGCGCCAAAUUGAUAAUAUAUUUUUAGUCAAUUAUUCCUAAAACACCAAUCAUGUCAUUGUAGUAUUUUAGGUGUCAAUCCAAAUGGGUGUGAUGCAAACAGAUGAGAUGUGAUCAGAAGUCUCUAAGUCAAGCCAAGCAAUAACAGAUUUGGGGUUUCUAAGAGUCCUAAGCGAACAUGCAGAAAACAGAAGCAAUAACAGAAUUACUAAAAUCACUCGACCACAACAGGCUGAUGCCAUAAGUAGGAUGUGGUCGAGUAACAGGUCGAGUAACAGACAGGAUAUGAAACAGCUAUACUCGACUGCACAGUCUGUUGCCAGACACUGGGUGUGGUCGAGUAUACUGGUCGAGUGAUUGUAAAAACUAAGAAACAGGCAAUGAGAACGAUUAAGCGAUAACGAUAAAACAGAGAAAUAAGGUAGACGAGAAAUUCCUAAGGAUGGGGUAAUCGAGUAGAGUGGUGUCCUAGCCUAUUCGAAUGGUUAACAAGCGCAAUCAAGCUAUCCCUAGACAACAGGUUCAACAACAGAUCAAUCCACUCCCGUGAUAGAAAUCCUCAAGCAAAGCUAGCCAAGACUAAUUCCCAUUAACGGAAUCUAACUAUGCAGGUAAUACGAACAGACUGAUAAAGUCAAUAAACGCUCUAAACGGCCAAUCCCUUGGGAUAGAGACGCAUAUCUCAGGAACUAGUGGAUCAAGCAUUCCAUCGAACACCUUCUGGGUGCGGGAAUGCUUGGGAUCGAAUUCCAGUUGAUCAGAAAGAAAUAAGCAGUAAACGCAACUAGUCCUAAAGGGAUUCAAUCAAUUCUAAAACUUAACCAUUCUACAGACUACGGAUUCCACAACUACUCUAUCCCAUCCCUAAGAAUUCUAAGUCACUACUCAGACAGCAUGCUCAAAGACAUAAACGCAGGUAAACGAUAAUAUUGCAUAAGUAAAGAGAUAAAGAGUAGAGAAACAAGAUGACUAAUGAAAUCAAACGCGGAAUCUCAAUAACUUGGAAAAAUCGCGAACUACAGGUUGCAAAAGCAAAAGCGGCGUAGCAGAGUAAAACUGAAAAUAAAACUGAAGCAAAAACGCAAUGUCGACUAGAUGUUUUAGGACAGAACCCUAAAACAUCUAUUUAUACCAAACAAAAUAAAAUGAUAGUAGACGGGCCAAUAACCUAAUCGCCCGGCCCAUAGAGUGAUAACGGGCCGAGAUGGGCUUCGUGAUCCGAUGGAGGUCCAGGCCGCUUCCAAACACUUUGUCUUCUCCUCUUUUCUUCCUUGUGCUCAGCUUGUCUGGUUGAGUGCGGAUUUGAGUAGACUGUGAAGACGUGAUCGAGUGUCCGGUCGAGUGAUGGUGAUGGUGGUGAGUGAUGAUACUCGACCAGGGGGUCGAGUAACGUGGUAGAGUGAAUGGUCGAGUGUGGUCAGGUGGUGUGGCGAAGCGGUACUCGACCGGGGGUCGAGUAAUGUCGUCGAGUGGCCUGAGCUGAGGUUACUCGACCUGGUGGUAGAGUGGACGGGAAGAAUGGCUCCAAAGUCACUCGACCUGGGGGUCGAGUAUGUGGGAAGAAUGGCUCCAAAGUCACUCGGCCUGGGGGUCGAGUAUGUCUUCUGGUUCUGGCUCGUUUCUUCCAAUUUGCUCGCAAACAGCUCCAAAUCACCUGAAAACAACUCAGAAAUGCAAUAUGUAUGCAAAGCUAUCCUAAUCAUGCAAAGUGUGCAAGAAUGAUGAGAAAUGAUAUAAAACAGUGAUGAAUGAUACGAAACUAGACUCAAAGUGAUGAUGAAUAGACACUGAAAACAUGCAAAUUAUAGACAUAUCAAAAGUCCAUGACGCUUUCAAGUUUACAGAAAAGGAAAUUUGCCCCAGAAGACUUCCCUAUUUGCAUUAUUAAUCACUGGACGUUUUAUAGGGUUUAUAUACAUUGUUUUAGACCUAAGUUUCUUUUAUCAAGU
rnacentral:sRNA from 1 species